AACCUUCCCACUAAGAUUACAGCCAUCUAGACGACCCUGUUCUUUUACGGCCCUCCUAUCCUAACCGUGGUAGGUACUCAAUCCCCUUGUCCCUUAAUUCUGGGCCCAACUAAACGGCUAACUUAAGGUUGUCUUCUUUUUUUUUUCCAAUCUAUUAAUCUCCCCUCCUAGAACCGAGGAUAAAAAAAACCCACAAAAAGAGCAUAUGGAGAGGAGACCC
rnacentral:rRNA from 1 species